rnacentral:rRNA from 1 species
AAUAUGGGACAAUGGGCGAAAGCCUGAUCCAGCCAUGCCUCGUGUGUGAAGAAGGNCUNNGGAUUNUNAAGCACUUUAAGUGGNNNNNAAGGGGUUGAAUCUAAUACCUUCAAUCUUUGACGUUACCAACAGAAUAAGCUCCGGCUAACUUCGUGCGCGCAGCCGCGGUAAUACGAAGGGUGCAAGCGUUAAUCGGAAUUACGGGGCGUAAAGCGCGCGUAGGUGGUUUGUUAAGUUGGAAGUGAAAGCCCCGGGCUCAACCUGGGAACUGCUUUCAAAACUGGCAAGCUAGAGUAUGGCAGAGGGUGGUGGAAUUUCCUGUGUAGCGGUGAAAUGCGUAGAUAUAGGAAGGAACACCAGUGGCGAAGGCGACCACCUGGGCUAAUACUGACACUGAGGUGCGAAAGCGUGGGGAGCAAACAGG